rnacentral:rRNA from 1 species
UACGUAGGGGGCAAGCGUUGUCCGGAUUCAUUGGGCGUAAAGGGUGCGUAGGCGGCGCGGUAAGUCGGGUGUGAAAUCUUGGAGCUUAACUCCGAAACUGCAUUCGAUACUGCCGUGCUUGAGGACUGGAGAGGAGACUGGAAUUUACGAUGUAGCGGUGAAAUGCGUAGAUAUCGUAAGGAAGACCAGUGGCGAAGGCGGGUCUCUGGACAGUUCCUGACGCUGAGGCACGAAGGCCAGGGGAGCAAACGGG